rnacentral:rRNA from 1 species
AUGUUAGGAUCGGCUGGCUCAUCCUCAUCAUCCGAAAAGAAAACAGAGACAAAACAGAUUUGUUUCAAUGACAUAUCUAAUCAGACUGAAAUUGAUGUCGAAGACACGAUCAUUCACAUCAAUUGAAGCAGGCAGGAAUGGCGCGAAAGCUACCGUUUAACGAAUGCAAUGCAAGCAAGGUAG